AUUGAACGCUGGCGGCAGGCCUAACACAUGCAAGUCGAGCGGAUGAAGGGAGCUUGCUCCUGGAUUCAGCGGCGGACGGGUGAGUAAUGCCUAGGAAUCUGCCUGGUAGUGGGGGAUAACGUCCGGAAACGGGCGCUAAUACCGCAUACGUCCUGAGGGAGAAAGUGGGGGAUCUUCGGACCUCACGCUAUCAGAUGAGCCUAGGUCGGAUUAGCUAGUUGGUGGGGUAAAGGCCUACCAAGGCGACGAUCCGUAACUGGUCUGAGAGGAUGAUCAGUCACACUGGAACUGAGACACGGUCCAGACUCCUACGGGAGGCAGCAGUGGGGAAUAUGGGACAAUGGGCGAAAGCCUGAUCCAGCCACGCCGCGUGUGAAGAAGGUCUUCGGAUUGUAAAGCACUUUAAGUUGGGAGGAAGGGCAGUAAGUUAAUACCUUGCUGUUUUGACGUUACCAACAGAAUAAGCACCGGCUAACUUCGUG
rnacentral:rRNA from 1 species